ACGAACGCUGGCGGCGUGCUUAACACAUGCAAGUCGAACGGAAAGGCCCUGCUUUUGUGGGGUGCUCGAGUGGCGAACGGGUGAGUAACACGUGAGUAACCUGCCCUUGACUUUGGGAUAACUUCAGGAAACUGGGGCUAAUACCGGAUAGGAGCUCCUGCUGCAUGGUGGGGGUUGGAAAGUUUCGGCGGUUGGGGAUGGACUCGCGGCUUAUCAGCUUGUUUGUGGGGUAGUGGCUUACCAAGGCUUUGACGGGUAGCCGGCCUGAGAGGGUGACCGGCCACAUUGGGACUGAGAUACGGCCCAGACUCCUACGGGAGGCAGCAGUGGGGAAUAUUGCACAAUGGGCGGAAGCCUGAUGCAGCAACGCCGCGUGCGGGAUGACGGCCUUCGGGUUGUAAACCGCUUUCGCCUGUGACGAAGCGUGAGUGACGGUAAUGGGUAAAGAAGCACCGGCUAACUACGUG
rnacentral:rRNA from 1 species